GUCCCGCUCUACACGCCGGAGAUAUCGGAGAAAUGGAAAUAAAAUACAGGCGAAAUUAAUCGUCGGACUCUCCUAUAGAUUAAAAAUCGAGAUCAAUUCUAUCCGGAUAGCACACGUAUGAAC